rnacentral:lncRNA from 1 species
CUCGUCUUAAUCAAGGAAUCCUGACUUAACCUUAUUCUUUCUCACAGACACAGUUCAAUGCUGCAAUGGAGCCUGUGGUGAGCACUGAUUCAAUAGGUGGUUUGCCUCCUUAGACGCAGAAUCACAGGACUAGAAGGAGUGAAAACAACACUUUAUCUCUACAUUGGCUUCAGGGAGGACAGUGCCCAAACCACCUCAAGUACAGAAUAAUUUACUCUCAUUUAGAAGAUCUCCAGACAGAGCUCGAAUGGCUCCCUUGGCAACAAAUUUUAGUUUUAACAAUCUUUGUAGCUUUAUCCUUCCCUCCAGAUAAUGCCAUAACUGUGUACUCUAGAUUAAACGUUUUCUCCUUUUCUGCCCACAGUGCUUUUGAAGCCAAACAUGAUUUCACAUAUAGUGUUGGGUCAUCAUUAAGUCACCUUUCAGAAGUCCCUCUAAAUUAAGGAGUCCUCAUCCUUUCCUUAAAUUUUUCAUGUGUCCUGACCUAUGAGAAUCUGUUAUACGCAUGUUUAAUUUCUAUGGAAUACCUCAUCAUACAACUUGAAAUUCUGAUUGACUAGUGGUUUUUUUCCUGCAUAAGUGCUACUUCAUCUAUGCCUCAGUAACAAACAACAACAAUCACUUAAUGGAAAUGGUGGCAGGCAGAAUUCUAAGAUAGCUGCCAGAUUCCUGCCGCCCCUGGUGUGCAUUCCUUGAUAAUCACUCUCCUUUGAGUGCAGGCAGACCUGUGUGUAUGAUACCACUGCUAUGAUUACAUUGCUCAUCAGGCGACUGUGAGCUAGCCAAAAUGGAGAAUAUUCUGGUGGGUCUGACCUAGCCAGGUGAGCCCGUUUCUGAGUCAUAGAGAUUGAAAGUGUGAGAGGGAUUUGAUGUGAGGGGGAAUUCUCUGUUGCUGGUUUUGAGUAUAAAAGGGGCCAUAUAAUAAAGACUUGAGAGUGGUCACUAGUUGCUGAGAUCCAUCCCUAAUUGAAGCUAGCAAGAAACACUUCUACCAACAACUUGAAGGAAUUUGGAAAAGAAUCCUUCCCUAGUCAAGUCUCUAGAGGGGAAUGCAGCUAACUGACACCUUGAUUUCAGCCUCGUGAGACCCUGAACAGAGAUAUCAACCACUCAGUUGCCUGGACCUCUGACAGAAAUGAAAGAUAAUAAAUGUCUGUUGUUUUAAGCCACUAAGUUUAUGGAAAUUUGUUACACAGCAAUGGAAAACCAAUAUAGGCCCCUAUCCAUGAGUUACAUUGUAGUAAACACCUUUCCUACAUUAUAGAUAUCUCAUCUAACUCCUACAGCAACCCUUGAGGUAAUCACUGUGUCCAUUGUCAGAGCAAGAAAACUGAAGCUCGGCUUCAUAAACAGAAGCAGCAAGGAUUGAUUCCUUAAAUACUGUGAAUUCCACUCUCACUUUAUUUGAAUUUGUGACAGUGAAAUUCACAGUAUUCUUUAAACAUUUUACCCCCAAGCGAUGCUCUUUCCUCUGAAUUGCUUUGCCUGUCCUAAUAAUUUUAUUUAUACAGGCUGAUGCUGGUGACUUGGGAAUAGUAUUUUUAUCCAAACCAUUUGGCUUCUUAUAGGUAUGAGCCACUGAGGGAGCUAUUUUUUAUUUAAUUGUGCUUUGGAAAAAUCAAACGUAGCCUUGAGUUUUAAAAUUAUUAAGCUUACACUUUUUCACAAAAUAGAAAUGGAGUAAUAUAGCUCUGUCCUUCCGUUUUUUAAAGCCAAAAAAUGUAAGAAUGGAAUGUACUGGCUCACUGCUCCCACGGUGUCCUUACCAGCACAACUUACCCCAUCCCUCCCUAGCCCACUCUUGAGGAUACUUUCUUGCCACUGUCAGGCUUACUCCUGCCUCCUAGACUGAGGAAAGAAAAGCCUCCUGGUUUGGAGCUCAUAAUCAAGUCAGCCUUGCUGCAGGGCUCAUUUUAAGCCAGUAUCCUGGACCAGAUAAGGAAGCUGAAGCUUUGAGAAUUUAAUUUGCUCAAGGGGAGGCCAGGACAAGAAAUAAUGAAGAGUCCGAUGUGGCAGGAAUGUAGGAAACAAGUCAAUGAUGGAAGAUAAAUAUGGAGACGUGAUGAAGGCAAAAUUCUGAAGGGUCUUAGAGCCCAUUAUAAGACGUUUGGUUUUUAUGGUUAGUGAGAAGGAAAACCAUUGGGGGUGGUUGGGCAGAAGAGUAAUAUGACUUGACUUAUAUUAAAAAAAUAAUUUGGUGGCUAGGUUGAGAAUAUAUGUAAGCAGGAGUGGGGUUGGGGGUGAGUGGCUGGGGCUGUUUAUAUCAAGGGUGGAUCCAGGCAGACCAGGCAGGAAGGCAUUGCAAUAAUCCAAGCAAAGGGAGAGGGUGUCUUGGUCACUAAACUGAUGCCAGAUAUGAAUUAGCUAUACUAGAAGAUAGUGAGAGAUGGUACAUAAAAUCAUACACAUUUAUUGCAACUGUAUGUAUUCCUUAAUUACAAUUUACUACAUAUAGACUAAUCUAGAUGAGCGCUUUCUAGGUACUCUUUAGUAAAUUCAUAGUCAACUCAUAAUAAUGAAUAUGGUGGUCAUUUUUUACAAAGCAACUUCCUGUGCAUUACUUUGAAAACAAUCCAAUAAGGUAUAUGUGGCAAAUACUACUCCUGCAAUUUAACAUGAAAAAAACAGACUUGGUGAACUUAGAGCUUGGCUUACCAGUAUAAUAUCAACUAUACGUCCUUUCUCCACUGAACUCAACUUCCUAACUAAGCUUGUGCCAAGGGGCAUUUCAAGAUAAAAAUGAAAAAAGAGGCUACAUCUUCCAGGAUAAAGACUUUGGUCUGAAAGUAACAUGUGCAUUAAAAGUUCAACUUUGAUAAAAGUUACAAAUCACUAUACAGAAGACCUAUUAAAUGAAAUAGACCCCAAAUAAACACAACAAAGGCUUUUCUUUUGUAAGAUGAUUUUAAGUUAAAAUACUGAAGAACCUUUUGAGAAAGUGCUCAGAACAUUUCCUCUGCUCACUGCAGCUGCAAGAAUCAGCACAAACAUCCACAUCCUAUUAGCUUUGAUUUCCAACUCAUGGAAACCCAACCUGUCGGUUUUUCUCUUUUUUCCCAAUACAUAGUGACAUUAACUCAGCCUUUUCUUCAGAAGUCUUCUUUUCUUGGCUGUUAAAUAGAUUAUCACCUCUCUCAUGACAAGGCCAAGAAUCAGGUGAGGCACUCAUCUUGAGCACAAAAUUUAAGGGGGAAAAACUCAAUGAUCAAGACAAUAUUUUAAUGUGAUUUUUAAAAAACCAAAAUCCAUAGAAGAAUAUCACAGGCUAGGCGUGCUUGCUCCUGCCUGUAAUCCCAGCACUUUGGGAGGCUGAGGUGGGCGGAUCACUUUAGGUCAGGAGUUCAAGACCAGCCUGGCCAACACGGCAAAACCCCCAUAUUUAAUAAAUAUACAAAAAUUAGCUGGGUGUGGUGGCAUGCACCUGUAAUCCCAGCUACUCGGGAGGCUGAGGCAGUAGAAUGGCUUGAACCUGAGAGGCGGAGCUUGCAGUGAGCUGAAAUCAGGUCACUGCACUCCAGCCUGGGCAACAGAGUGAAAGUGUGUCAAGAAAGAAAGAAAGAAAGAAGGAAGGAAGGAAGGAAAGAAAGAAAGGGAAAGAGAAAGAAAGAAGAAAGAAAGAGAAAGAAAAAGGAAGAAAGAAGAAAGAAAGAGAAAGAAAAAGAAAGAAAGAGAAAGAAAAAAGAAAGAAGGAAAGAAAGAGAGAGAGGGAGGGAAGGAGGGAAGGAGGGAGGGAGGAAGGAAGGGAGGAAGGGAGGGAGGGCGGAAGGAAGGAAGGGAGGAAGGAGUCACAAUUUUAAAGACAGUGUCAGUGUUACUGAAUAACCUUUUGCCUCAAGUUCCAAUAGGGCUGAGUACAACACUGGAAAGUGAUAUUUCCUUCUGAUGUUUUAUGUUUCAAUAUUCUUUCUGCAUGUAUAUUCAGUAGACGCUAUAGGUAGUUUAUCUCAGGUGAGGCUGAAAUAUAAAGAGAAUAAGAAUGGAGAUAGGGCAAAUCUUGUGUCUUACAGAAUAUAUUGGCCACUCCAUGUUUUUCCUUUAAUAUGUUACAAUUCUCUAAAGCAUCACAAAAUGAAACCUGUCAUCAUCUUAAUCUCUGUUACACAGAGCAAACACCAAGCAGGCAUGACCACGCCCUCCCUACACUGGUAGUUGAGAUGCUGCAAUGCAGCAUAUUAAAAAAUAGUGCUGACUUGUAUGGCACCACUUUGCUUAUGCUCUGAAUGCUGGAAGUAAAUGCUGACUAUCUGGAGAUAAUAAUAAUAUGACUUUUGAAUAAGCAAGGCACAAACAGCAAUUAUACAGUUAACACAAGCUAUGACUGUCAAGCAAUUGUUAUGCUUAGCACAAUUGCUUGAACCAUUAAUUAGAGUACAGCAUUUCCUCUUGAGAUAAUGCUGAUUAAAAUGUACAUACACUCUUCUGGAAGAUAACUUCAGGGUUGACGUGAAAACAGCAAAGACAGAUUUCAAAUAAAUACCUUUGCAACAAAGGUAUUUUGUACAGAGGGGAAUGCUUGUCUCCCUGCCCUGUUGAGAGCUGAUUAUCACAGGGUCAUUUUGUGGUUGGCUGGGCAAGUUUUCCAGAAAGAUAAAAGAGAUGAAGAAUGAGGAUAGGAGUCAACUAAAUUCUUAGCAGCUAACAAACAAUUUUCUUUGGAGUUGACUUUCUCUUUAAUCUUUUGUAAUUGCAGAUACAUAAUUCAAUGUGCUUUUAUAAAAUAUACAUGCCAUUUUCCCUGUAAACAGGUAUGAGAGCUGACCUCAGCAAUUAGCAAAAUCCUCAUACACACUGAUUUAACCGACCCAGUGUGCAUCCAGAAACCACUGCAGCAUGAGUUUGCGGGGACUUUGGGGUCUUUAAAUACUCAUUAAACAUUACAACUAGCUAGGACUCUUUUGGGGGACCAAUGGAGGCGCUUUGCUGAGCUGCUCCCUGAUGUUGUAAAAUGCAAAAAGUGAGUAAGCAGUCACAGUGCACCCUGCUUCCUUAUAGUAUAGGGCCUCGCCCUUCAAACUGUCAUCUGAGGACCAGCAGUAUCAACAUCCCCACAGAGCUUGUUAGAACUGCAGACUUGCAGGCCCUACUCUAGAUCUAUUGCAUCACAAUUUGCAUUUUAACUAGAUCUCCAUGUAAUUAUUAUGCACAUUAUAGUUCAAGAAGUACUGGCCUAAGAACAUUUUGCUCACAAAUCUGGGCUUAGAAAGCCAUCCUUGUGACUGGAGGAAAAUAUCGAAAGAGUGACAUGAUCUGAAACUGGAAACAAAUGCAAAGCAGGUGUGAGCCAUUAGAAAUGCAGCAGCCCUUCAGCUCGGCAAGGAGAUUACAAGGCUGUAUAGUUAAUGGGUAGGUAACUUAGUAAAUAGGAGACUUUGUUGUAGAUAAAAUCAUUGUUAGGUAUUUGGAAAUUAUGAGGAAUAAUAUAUAUAAUGCCCUAGGGGUGAGUAGGGGUGAUUGCUGGAAGUCUCUUACAGACUGAGCAGGUAAGAAGAAGAAAGGAGAAGAAACCUUCUUCUGGUUUUUGUGUUUGUGGCUGCAGACUAUGCCGUGCAAGACUUGGUAAACUGGUCCCUACCGCAGAGGAUUUUAUACAGAGCACGCUAGUGGCUCACAGAAUAUUUCACUGAUUGCCUUGCCCGCUUCUCAAAGGCCCACUUCUCUGUGGAAUGAUGCAGUUGCUAAGAAGAGCUGUUAAUGUCAUGACCUCAAUGAAUAAAAAAGACUUCCUUUUCUCCAUGCCCACUCAAGUAAAAGGCUUCUCUCUGAACUCCUGCUAAUUUUUCAUCAGCAAAGGUGCACAGCCUUUUGGAAGUGAAAUGAUUACUAGUGAAGAAAAAGAAAGAACCUAACACUUAUUUUACAAGCCUCCCAGUGACCACUCUUCAGACAAAACUUCUUAUAAUAGCUUCCUUCCCUGAAUCUUUUGCGAAACAUCAAAUCACAAAGAGAUCUUAUUGUGAGUAUUACCUAAAAUUUUUUCCUGUCUUAUGUAGCAAAGAGGGAAGUCACUGAGUCAGCUUAGAUAUGUGUAUGUGUUCUAAAAAAAAUGAAUGUAUCCAUGUGACUUUUUUUUCUUUUUUUUUUUUUUUUGAGAUGGAGUUUUGCUCUGUCACCCAGGCUGGAGUGCAGUGGCGUGAUCUCUGCUCACUGCAACCUCCACCUCCUGGGUUCAAGUGAUUCUCCUGCCUCAGCUUCCCGAGUAGCCUGCCACCACACGUGGUUAAUUUUGUAUUUUUAGUAGAAAUGGGUUUUCACCAUGUUAGCCAGGCUCGUCUCAAAUUUCUAACCUUCAGUGAUCUGCCUACCUUGGCCUCCCAAAGAGCUGGGAUUACAGGAAUGAGCCACCGCACCUGGCCCCAUGUGACUUUAAUAUUUUACUGCAUAUCUUCCUCGGCAAAUAACUAAAUCCUGUCAUGUGGGAGGGAGUUUGGAAAUAGUGCUUAGGAACCACCCACUAUCUCAUUUGUGAAGUCCGUUGCCACUUGCGGGGGGCGCCAGGCAAUGACAUCAACAGACUUAUCUGGUUAUGUCUUUGAGCCUUGGAUCCUUGUAAUUGUUUUGCUUGAUAAAGCUAUCUUUUGUUAUAAAAGACUUUGCCAAAAAAAAGUCUUUGGCUUAAGGCAUUUAAAUAAUGCAAGCUUCAAAGUUAGUGAACAGAUUAUGAAAAAUGUCUGAAUAGUAAUUUGGAAGGCAAUUUGCACAUAUAUUUCUAUCUGGAAGAAUAAUAGUUUGUAAACGAAAUACAUCUUAGGCCAUAAUUAUAAGUGUCAGAACAUGAAAGGAUUGGUGAAUUGGAGAAACAGAAAUUAAAAAUAAAACUUAAAAAAAUAAGUCAGAAUAUCAUAAUGGUACAAAAUAAAUGAGACAAUAGAAACAUAGACAUUUCCCUAAUUCAUAAUGUAGUUAUUUGUUCUGGAGAUUUGUUCAUUAUUGUAAAAACUAGCUACAUUUAAUCGUUUUAAUUGUUGUUAUGAAAAUACUUUGCUUCAUUUAUUUUAAAUAUAUCCUACUAAAAAAAGAGUAUAUAUAAAAACACAUGUACAAUUUAGAACAUAACGUUAAAACAAACACUUACGUAUUUUCCAACCAGCAAAAGGAAAAGAACCUUAAUGGUGAUCUUGUGUAUUUGUGUCCAGAUGCGUUUUUCUCCCUUUACCUGGGGUAACAAUCAUUGCAUAUUUUGUGUUUAUCAAUUCUUUCCUUUAGAAAUGCUUAUCCAUUUGUGUAUUUAUGCCUAAACAAUAGAUGGUUUCAUUUCGCUUGUUUUGAGCUUUAUUAUAUUUGUUUGUAGUCACCAUGGAUGUAACCUUUUUCCACGCAAAAUUAGCUUUCUAAGAAUCAUCCAUGUUGGUGGAUAUAGCUCUGUGAUAUUCCAUCAUGUGAUACUGCAAGUUAUAACUCUAGUUAUAUAUCUAUUUUCCAAUCAAUGAAUAUUUACAUUGAUCCAAAUUUUCAUUAUUAUGCACAGUCUGGCAAGGAAGACUCAUAUAUGACUCCUGGUACAUGGGUACAAGGAUUCUAUAGGCUAUAUACCUAAUCGUGGAAUUGUUGAGUCUCAGAGUAUUCAAAUGUUCAACUUGACACAUUAUCAUGAAACUGUUCUCCAGAGUGGCUUUCCAAUUUACUCUUCCACCAAAAAUGUGUUCCUAUUGAUCUACAUCUUCUCUAGAACAUCUUAUUUUAGGUAAUUUAAUUUUUUCAUUGUUAUGAAAUGGUAUCUCACUGUCUUAUGCAUUUCUCUGGUUAAUAAUGAGAUUGGUCAUAAAUUCAUAUGUUCAUUGUGAAAUGUCUAUUCUUUUGUUGCCCAUUUCAUCUAUUGGGAUGGCUAUCUUCUAACCGAUUUUACAUAGUUCUAGUGGUUGUUUAUGCAUUCUGGAAACCGGUUCUUUAUUAAUCAUAGGUGUGGCAUUAUGGUUCACAUUGUUACUCUCUUGCUAUACUGUGAUGAACAGAAGUUUUUCAUUUUCAUGAAGUAGACUUAUCAACAUUUUCUUAUGUUUUAGAUGUUUAUUUAGAAACCCUUCUCUACAAACAUUCUAAUAUUUUCUUUUAAAAGUUUUGAAGUUUUGACUUUUACAUUUAAAUUAUUAAUCAAAUUAGAAUUAUCUUCCAUAUACAUGUGAGUCCUCAAUUCUUGCUCCAUUAAACAAUUUAUCCUUCCUCGCAUCAGUAUCUUCCCACCUUAAUUGCUAUUGGAUUAUAAUAACUCUUGAUAUUUGGUGUGCCAAAUUCCCCCAACAUAUUAAUCCUUUCGGAUAUUCUAUUCUCAGCCCUUUAUUUUUCCAUAUGAAACUCAGAAUCAUGAAGUUUAUUUAAAAUUCUGCUAGGAUUUUGAUAAAAAUUUCCAUAAAAAACUUUUCAGUUUGACAUUGUUAGGACUGAGUUUUCUUAUCCAUGAAUGUGAAAUAUCUGUGUUAUUUUAUCUGCAAAAUAAAGAUAAAGAAAUAUCUUUAUUAUUGUUUAAUGUUUUUAUGAAAAGUUCAUGAUUUUUUAUCUAGAGGUAUCACACAUCUUUUUUUAGAUAUAUUCUAGGAUACUUUUUAGUUUUGUUGCUUUUGUAAGUGUUGUCAUGUUGGGAGUCUCUGAGAACCUCCUCAAGCUUGAUGACCCACUAGAAGGACUCUCAGGACUUAGAAGUGGUUAUAUUGAUGGUCACAGUUUAUUAUAACAAAAAGACACAGAUAACAAUAAACAAAGAGAAAAGGCACAUGGGGUGAAGUUCAGGAGAAAUAAGGCACAAGCCUUCAGGUAUUCCCCUCCCAGGAGUAAAUAUGCUAACUGAAGCACACAAAAAAAGAAAAGAUAAAUGCAAAAAAGAGCAUAAAAUAUAUAUGACAUAGUUUUAAAAAUGUGUAACAUGCAUGUAAUUGAAGUAUCAGAAAGAAUGGAGACAAGGAAUAGGGGAAGAAGGAAUAUUUGAAGAGAUAAUAACCAAAAACUUUCUAAAACUAACCCACAAAAUCAAGAAAUUCUGAAGAAACUAGAAAAGAUACAUGCAAAAUAAAUCCCAUUUUGGCUCAUAGUGAACUCCUGAAAGCCAAGGACAAGGACCAAUUACUUAAAGCACCCAAAAAAAAACAACAUUGCUUUCAUAAUAGCAAUAAAAGACUAAUAACUGAAUUUUCUACACAAAUGAUGGAAGCUGGAAGAUAUAAAGAUCAUAAGGAUAUAUUCUAUUCCUGGAAUUGAUGUGCCUUGGUCAUAAUGUCUUUUUUAAAAUACAAAGUUGUAAUCAGGUUUCUAAAUAGUUUAAGAUUUUUGCAUCUAAUUGUUUGGAAAGUUCCCCCUUUUUUAUACUCAUAUCUGCAUUAGCUAUCAAGGCUAAAAAUGACUGCUUUAAAAGAGUUAAGGAAAGUUUCCUCUUUGUUAUACCUAUGAAAAAGUUUAUAUACAAUUAAAAUUUGAUGAUAACAUUUGUUAUAUUUUCUUAUAGAACUAUUUGUAUUUGGUGUUCUAUUUAUGAGGAGGCUUUUAAAAUAUUGAUUUGACUUCUUUAGUAGUUGUAGGGCACUGAAGUUUUCUGGUACUCUAACUGCAGCCCACGUAACUUAUCUUAUAUUCUCAUUAUCAUUUAGUUCUAAGUAUUUUUUUACUUUCUAUUAUAAAGUAUUCUUUGACCUAGGAGGUAUUUAGAAGUUUGCUUUUAAACUGUCAAAUGUAUGAAAUUGUCUUAAUUUUCCUUUUAUUACUAAUAGCUACAUUAUUUUCCUUCUUGUGAGAGAAGGUAGUCUGUGGUACUUUUGGAAAUAUUUAAAGACUUUUUGGCCUAGUAUGUGAUAAAUUUGUGAAAAUGUUCCUUGCAUGUCAAAAAGAAUUAUCCAGAAUUAUCCAAUAAUUGGAUAAAUGUUCUUAAUAUGUUUAUUAGGACAUUCAUGUUCAUUGUGUUUACAAUUUCUAUAACAUUGCUAGUUUUGAUCUGCUUUUCAUGUCAAUACCUGAGAUAGGUCUGUUUAAAUUUCUUACUAUAAUGGUAGAUUUGUUACAAUUUCAUUGUAGCCUGUACAUUUUUGCUUUAUAUAUGCUGAAUAAAUGUUAAUAUGUGCCCAUAUAAGCUUAAACAUUAUAAUUACUUUAUCUUCCUGGAAAAUUGUAAUUUUCAUCAAUAUGUGCUCACCCCCUUUUUAUCUGGUAACUAUUUUGACCUU